GUGACAAUGGCUCAAUCAGGCAGAGCCCCUGUGUAUGAAACAGGUUGCUACCGGUUCAACUCCGGUUGGUCACCC
rnacentral:tRNA from 1 species